rnacentral:lncRNA from 1 species
GAGAGAAGGACUCCUCCAUCCUUCAUGCCAAAAGUGGUUUUAUGCUUCUUGUUAUGACGCCCAACUGUUGGGCAAUUGGAGGGUGUUUGACUUCCUCCACGAUUUCUAUUUGAGUCAUAAUUUGGGACUGAAAAAGGCUGAUUUCAUAGGGCUUGUGUGUGGGUUCCAUAGGUCCAAAAGUUGGACAGUAAAAGGGCUAAGAGCUGAGGGUUCAACAUGUCCAAGAGAGGGAAGAAAG